rnacentral:rRNA from 1 species
CCUACGGGUGGCAGCAGUGGGGAAUAUUGCACAAUGGGGGAAACCCUGAUGCAGCGACGUCGCGUGAGUGAUGAAGUAUUUCGGUAUGUAAAGCUCUAUCAGCAGGGAAGAAACUGACGGUACCUGACGCAGAAGCCCCGGCUAACUACGGGCCAGCAGCCGCGGUAAUACGUAGGGGGCAAGCGUUAUCCGGAUUUACUGGGUGUAAAGGGAGCGUAGACGGCGGUGCAAGCCAGAUGUGAAAGGCCGGGGCUCAACCCCGGGACUGCAUUUGGAACUGGGCUGCUAGAGUGUCGGAGAGGCAGGCGGAAUUCCUGGUGUAGCGGUGAAAUGCGUAGAUAUUAGGAGGAACACCAGUGGCGAAGGCGGCCUGCUGGACGAUGACUGACGUUGAGGCUCGAAAGCGUGGGGAGCAAACAGGAUUAGAUACCCGGGUAGUC